rnacentral:misc_RNA from 1 species
GAUGAAGAACGUAGCGAAAUGCGAUACGUAAUGUGAAUUGCAGAAUUCAGUGAAUCAUCGAGUCUUUGAACGCACAUUGCGCCCCCUGGUAUUCCGGGGGGCAUGCCUGUCCGAGCGUCAUUGCUGCCCUCAAGCACGGCUUGUGUGUUGGGCCUCCGUCCUCCUCCCGGGGGACGGGCCCGAAAGGCAGCGGCGGCACCGCGUCCGGUCCUCGAGCGUAUGGGGCUUCGUCACCCGCUCUUGUAGGCCCGGCCGGCGCUUGCCGACACAUCAAUCUUUUUUCCAGGUUGACCUCGGAUCAGGUAGGGAUACCCGCUGAGCUUAAGCAUAUCAAUAAGCGGAGGA